GACAGAGGGUGCAAACGUUGUUCGGAAUUACUGGGCGUAAAGCGAGUGUAGGCGGUUUGGUAAGUCGGAUGUGAAAGCCCCGGGCUCAACCCGGGAAGUGCACUCGAUACUGCCAAGCUAGAGUAUCGGAGAGGUUGGUGGAAUUCUCGGUGUAGAGGUGAAAUUCGUAGAUAUCGAGAGGAACACCGGUGGCGAAGGCGGCCAACUGGACGAAUACUGACGCUGAGAACUCGAAAGCGUGGGGAGCAAACAGG
rnacentral:rRNA from 1 species